rnacentral:rRNA from 1 species
GAUGAACGCUGGCGGCGUGCCUAAUACAUGCAAGUCGAGCGAACGGACGAGAAGCUUGCUUCUUUGAUGUUAGCGGCGGACGGGUGAGUAACACGUGGAUAACAUACUUAUAUGACUGGGAUAACUUCGGGAAACCGGAGCUAAUACCAGAGAAUAUUUUGAACCGCAUGGUUCAAAAGUGAAAGACGGUCUUGCUGUCUCUUAUAGAUGGAUCCGCGCUGCAUUAGCUAGUUGGUAAGGUAACGGCUUACCAAGGCAACGAUGCAUAGCCGACCUGAGAGGGUGAUCGGCCACACUGGAACUGAGACACGGUCCAGACUCCUACGGGAGGCAGCAGUAGGGAAUCUUCCGCAAUGGGCGAAAGCCUGACGCAGCAACGCCGCGUGAGUGAUGAAGGUCUUCGGGUCGUAAAACUCUGUUAUUAGGGAAGAACAUAUGUGUAAGUAACUGUGCACAUCUUGACGGUACCUAAUCAGAAAGCCCCGGCUAACUACGUG